CUAAGUUCCCUAAAUUCAAAGAAUUUGGCGGUAAUUAAGUCUUUUUAGAGGAACCUGUUCUUUAAUUGAUAAUCCACGAUUUACCUUACUUUAACGUUAUUUGUAUACCUCUGUCAAUGAAUGUAUUAUUAGGUUAAUUUUCUUUAUUUUUUUUAAACGAAUGUUAGGUCAAGGUGCAGUUUGUUAAAGUAGAAAUGGGUUACUAUGAUGAUUUUUGGAUUUUACUUUGAAAUAUUUUGAUUGAAAUAGGAUUUAAUAGUAAUUUUUUUAAAUAAAAAUUUUGAUAUUGGCUCUUAAUUAU
rnacentral:rRNA from 1 species